rfam:Methanohalophilus mahii DSM 5219, complete genome.
GGAAACCUGAUCAGGUAGAUCAAAUGGACUCUAGAUCCAUUCAGCCGGGUUAGAUUCCCGGGGUUUCCG